GGAGAGGUCGCAUAGUGGUCGAGUGCAGCGGUUUACUAAACCGCCGAGCCGCAAGGUUCCGAGGGUUCGAAUCCCUCUCUCUCCGCCA
rnacentral:tRNA from 1 species